UAGUAACUUGACUACACACAAACGUAUUCAUACAGGGGAGAAGCCUUAUCAAUGUGAUAUCUGUGGUAAAUCAUUCUCUGAUCGAAGUUACUUUAAAUUCUCACAAACAUAUCCAUACAGGGGAGAAGCCAUAUCUUUGUGGUGUCUGUGGCAAAUCAUGUUCUUCAGCCAGUAACUUCACCACACACAAGCGUAUUCAUACUGGGGAGAAGCCAUUUCAUUGUAACAUCUGUGGUAAAUCAUUUUCU